rnacentral:rRNA from 1 species
AUUGAACGCUGGCGGCAGGCUUAACACAUGCAAGUCGAACGAGUGGCGGACGGGUGAGUAAUGUCUGGGAAACUGCCUGCUGGAGGGGGAUAACUAUUGGAACCGGUAGCUAAUACCGCAUACCAUAAGAUGCGCCCAGAUGGGAUAAGCUUGUUGGUGGGGUAACGGCUCACCAGGACGACGCUCCCUCGCUGGUGUGAGAGGAUUACCAGCAACACUGGAAAAAAGACACGUUCCAGACUCCUACGGAGGACAGCAGUGGGACAAAUUGCAGAAAGUGCACAAGCCUGAUGCAGCCAUUCCACAUGUAUGAAGAGAGCCUUCAGGUUGUAAGGUACUUACAGCGCGGAGGCGUUACCCGCAGAAGAAGCACCGGCUAACUCCGUGCCAGCCGCCGCGGUAAUUC